rnacentral:rRNA from 1 species
GGAUUAGAUACCCUGGUAGUCCACGCCGUAAACGAUGAUCACUAGAUGUUGGCGAUAUACUGUCAGUGUUUAAGAGAAAUCAUUAAGUGAUCCACCUGGGGAGUACGUUCGCAAGAAUGAAACUCAAAGGAAUUGACGGGGGCCCGCACAAGCGGAGGAACAUGUGGUUUAAUUCGAUGAUACGCGAGGAACCUUACCAAGACUUAAAUGUAGAUUGACAGAUCGUGAAAACGAUUUUUCUUCGGACAAUUUACAAGGUGCUGCAUGGUUGUCGUCAGCUCGUGCCG